rnacentral:lncRNA from 1 species
UUUUCAUGCGAUGAUAAAUGUCAACUAUUUGUACAAGUUCAGUUUUAACAUAAUUAUGCCGUGAGGCACUUUCUAUUAUUUUUGGUGACGAUUGAAGCAAUUUAUAAUUGAUCUUGAUUGAAUAGAUGCAUUUCUAGACAUUAUUUAAUUCUCUUAUCUUUUUCAAUUUGAAUGCUUCUUUGUUUUGAAGCAACAUAUAGAUCCUGGUAUAAUAUCUAGAGAUGCAAUUUCAUCCGGUCUUUAAUAGUGAUCCUUUGUUUCUGUUUAAUAAUAAGAUAAAGAGGGCAUAAGUUAAGAGGAGGAAAAGGAGGAAAAGGAGGAAAGAAAGAUAAAGAGGGCUAGGAUCAAAUCCCUUUUUUUUUUAAUUCUUUCUAGUUAGUCAUGUAUUGAGCUAUUAAAAAAAUUGUAAUAGAUGGGCAUCUUUGGAAACUGCCAGGUGCCUAAGCACCUAGGCGAGUGCCAAAGUCGAGGUAAGUAUAAGGAGAAGCCUAUAAAAUGGUAAUGAUCCAGCAAGUUGCACUUAUCCACCUGCCAUGUCCAACAUUAAUUUAUAUCAAUCUCAUUCCAUAUUAGCAAACAUAAUGCAAAAUGUUAAAAGCAAGCACCUAGAUGUCUUCACAUAGGUGGGUCAUCUGGGCAGCCAAAGGAGUUAGAUCUAGAGGCUGAUACUUUUUUUUUUCUCUUCAUCUUUUAAAAAAUAAUUUCUCAGUUGUUGAAUUACUAAGGUAUAACUAAUAUGCAUAAAUUAUUAUAAAUUAUCACAAUUGGUGUGGAUUACACAACUU